rnacentral:lncRNA from 1 species
CGCCCCCGCCCUCCGCCCCAACCUUGGGCGCACCUCCCCAGGUAGGAGCUGCGGUGGUGGCGCAGCGGGAGCCCCGCCAACGUCCGAGCAGGGUGGGCGCUUGGAGAUGCUGGGGAGCGGCCCCCUUUGCCAGCCAACGGGAAGACUGAGGACAGGGCAGUCCAGGGACCAGCUUGAGAGAUCUCGGGUGGAAUUUUGGAUUUUUCUCUCAGCCUCUGCUGAGGGCUGGGACUCACAGAAUAAAGGGAAGAUGGCUUGUCCCCGUCCCACGGCGCCUCGACACCGUCGCUUAGAGGAUUCUCCAGCCUGUCUGUCUUUUUGGGGGGGUUAGGGGAUCAAACUCAGGACCCCGAGCUUGUGAGGCAGGUGGGCGGCACCACUGAGCUAAAUCCUCCUGUGUCUCUUUUAGGACUGCACUUCCCAGCUAUGUAUGAGAGAUAACCAUUUUCCCUUUUGGGGUCCCAGUUCCUGGACAGUUCCAAGGGGUUGGCUCUCAAGAGGCCAUUCGUAGCCAGUAGUUAGGGAAAGCCCUUCCACCCCAUCAUCGGAACUCUCUCAAUAUGAUGGAGAGUGGCACACGGUUUAAAGAUGAUGGAAGCUAGGCUCCAACCCUCUUGCUGUCGCCUCCUCCUCCAGCCCUCCAACUCCCGGUGGGCUUCAGGUAGCUCUCAAACCUCUCCCACGCCUUCACCCCAUAACGGGCAAGCAGCCCCUUCCUGAGUGGAGGCCCGCGAGUGGGGGUGGCUCCUGAGGGUAGCCGCGUCUCCCAGACGUGGGGCGGGCAGACCCUACCCUUUUGCUUUGCGGGUGUCCCGUUGUCCCCAAAGGCAGGAUUCGGUGCUAGCCGGGAUUUCCCGGGGCACAGUUCCACUGGCCUGGGUUCGCUCUGUGAUCAUUCUUGGGCCGGUUCCUUACCCCUCGCUGGGCUUCCGGACGGAUCUCUGGGGUCUCCGAGGCUGCUUCUACCUUUAGGGUUCCGGGCCUUGAAGACGGCUCCGGAGACUCCAGACAGCCAGAGCUUUGGAGGGAGGCUGUGGGUGCAGGGCCGAGUGGAGGGUGCUUUGGGAGCUCGGGGUAUCCCAAGCGGAGGGUUCUGGCCUGAAAUGGGUGGCAUCGCCUUCUGAAGGUUUAGCCCCGUUUUUUUCAGAGAGCUAGGGCAGGCUCAGUCCCACCAGGUUGGGCUGCUGCCAUCGGAAGAAAGAGGUGAAGAGCAAAGAUCCUCGUUCCGCGGAGCAGACCUAGCGUUUGCUGUUUGCUUGACAAUCUUCCCCGGCGGAGGUGCUGGAAUGAACGAGUGGAGAUGGACUUUACAUCGCGGCACAAAACCCCUGACUGUCUUAUGAAGUAAGGAAGAAGUGAAAAUCUAGGUUUCCUCCUGUCUCAUUUUUUCAAAGGAGAAAUAUUUUUUUAAAAAAACUUGUAACUGAAUUAUACCAUCGGGAACUUUUAAUACAGAUUCUUUGGUUCUCUGUAUUUCCACGAUUCUGAUUUUAAAUUCUGGACCAUUAUAUUAACAUGAUCAAAGAAGGUGAUUCUAUAACGUUUUUUGACUGUAGUUAUAUUCCUGUGGCUUUUAAACUGAUUGAGGUCUGAAAGUCCAUUGGUUAUAUAUUAAGAUGCUAGGGCUAGGGUUUUGUACCUGAAACUUUGAUGCCAGGACUUGGAGCUACUUCUUUAGUUUUAGAUUUUUUUUCUUUUAGCUUUAAGGUAUAUGUUAUUUAAUUUGAAUUCCUGGUUAGGAAUGUCUCAUUGCAAGAUUUGGGUUCUAUAAAUCUACAGCACUCUUCCUUAAUUCCAAGAUGUGAGUACUGGAUCCACUAUUUUGUGGCUCAGGUAGUCUUAUUCUGGUAAUUCUUCAAUAUUCGUUGUGAUAUGCUUUAAUGAUUGCUCUAUGGCUUUGUGAUUCUCUGCUUUUGCUCUCCAGUGACUGUGGCUAAAAACCUCCAUGUCUCAGAAUUUUCAGAUCCGCAGUGUCUCCUGUCUGUGGCCUCACUAGAAUUCUGAUUCUUUG